GUGCAGGACGACAGAGUGCAGGACGACAGAGAACAGUCUGAGAGAGAAGGAUGUAAAAGGACCAAAUGAGUAAACUAAGCCGUUAGUGCAACGGAUAGAUGACAAUCUGGUAUUCACUGAUUUGUGUUUCACCAAGGUGGCCGGAAGCAGCUGAUGAAACACAGGUUUACUGGAAUCAUCCUUAAGUCCGCCAGUCCGCCCGGGAAUGUGGUCCAGCAGAGUAAGGGAUUGGAAAGUUUCACUGAAGAACAGAAAGCCAAAGUGUGUUUGGCUCAUCCUGAUUCUAAGGGUCAAUGCCCAGUUAAACAGAGAGAGAGCAUCCUGUUACAGGGCUGGCUGUGUCAAAGGACAGACAGAUGUUCUGGAAUGCGCGGACAUCACACCAACAUUCCAUUUCAUCGCUACAG
ensembl:lncRNA